rfam:Neisseria meningitidis MC58, complete genome.
UUUUCCCUGCGGUGUCCGCGAAGGCAUAUAUUCCUUUGAACCAAUAAGUUCGCUUAAGGUUGCCGGGAGCAGUAGUGGGCGCGAGCGUCCUUUUGCGGACGCACCCGAAACUACCCGAGGCAGCCGCCUUGUCAGCAAGGUUCAAGCGGAUUCGGCCGAAACGGCUCUCGCGGGGAUUCC